rnacentral:rRNA from 1 species
GAUGAACGCUGGCGGCGUGCCUAACACAUGCAAGUCGAGCGGCAGCGAGGGGUGCUUGCACCCUGUCGGCGAGCGGCGGACGGCUGAGUAACGCGUGGGAACGUGCCCCAAAGUGAGGAAUAACUGCCCGAAAGGGUAGCUAAUACCGCAUAUUAUCUUCGGAUCAAAGGAUUUAUCCGCUUUGGGAGCGGCUCGCGUCGGAUUAGGUAGUUGGUGAGGUAAUGGCUCACCAAGCCGACGAUCCGUAGCUGGUCUGAGAGGAUGACCAGCCAGACUGGAACUGAGACACGGUCCAGACUCCUACGGGAGGCAGCAGUGAGGAAUCUUCCACAGUGGGCGAAAGCCUGAUGGAGCAACGCCGCGUGCAGGACGAAGGCCUUCGGGUUGUAAACUGCUUUUAUAAGUGAGGAAUAUGACGGUAACUUAUGAAUAAGGAUCGGCUAACUGCGUG